AUGCGUUCUGGUCAGCGGAGGGGAGUCCUGUUGCCGCCACCACGGGCCCAUCGCGGCUCCCGUAGAAUCCAGGCGCCAAGUCCGAUUGGUCGGGCGCACCAAAACAAGGGGCAUCACGUCACCUGCAGGGGGGGAAAGCUGCGGCGUGAAAAGAAGGACGUGCGAAGGGGAGGGGCCGCGCGAGAGAAUCCCAGGAGCGGCGCGUGCCCCCCGCUGGUGUCAGUGACGCCCAGCCCCAGUGGGCGCCCGCCGAAUCGCCCCCCCCCCCGCCUCUCCUCUCUAUCGUCCCGGGGGGAUUCCACCUGCCACCGCCAGACACGCGCCUCGCAUCGGCCGCGGAGGGAGGAGCGAGCUGUCACCAGCACCACGGCACCUGCUGUUGCUGCAAGCCCCGCUCAGUCAGGAUGACGGACAAAGUGCCUUGGAAUGCUUGUAAUCAAUGAACUGAUAUUCAAGAAAGAAGAAAUGUCAUAAGUAAUGUUCACUCAUUCACUCCUUUGGAAAUGUUUCAUUUUUAAUAGUUUCUUCGUUCUGCUGUUGUGCAUAUUUGAUAGCAAUGAAUGACAUGCGGAUGGACUGAAGGACAAUAUAGAAGUUCUCUCUGAAUGGUAAAGAAUGUGGAUACCCAAACAGGCUGAGUUCUGAACAUAAAUGACGCUUGUUUUGAUCAGACUUUGGUUCCACCUAUCUCAGUAAUGAAUGAUUAGCAGCUACUUUACAGGAUCUCCUAUAGAGAAUGGCCUUUUCCAGCAUCUGCUACCUGAGAUCCGGUACCUAAAGAUGCCAGGGAUUGAACCUUCUGAAUGAAAAACAUAUGUUCCAAUAUAGAGCCAGCCCCUACCCUUCUAUGUGUACAUUGAAACAGCCACGGUGACACAGAAAUCACUACCACCAAGAAUCUGUAUGUUUGCUAUUAUUUACAUUUUUUAAGGGAAAUCAUAUUAGCCUGCUAAAAUAAUGAAGAAAAUUCUAGAACUUUAAAGAGGAACAGAUUUAUUGGGGCACAAGGUUUCAUGGAACAUUUUUAAUGUAUGUGAUAAGGGGGCUGUAGUCUUGAAAAUAUGUGUCUCAAUAAAUGUGUUAGUCUUUAAGAUAUCAUAAGACUAAUAAUGCUGUAUUCUACCUCUGUAAACAUAAUCAUAACAUCCACAUUAAAAAUGGAAUUUUGUGAAUACUUAGUGUUACAGAACACAAUAGCUGAAUCUGUGUUUUCCCAUACUUGGUCUGGUUGCUUCUUCAACUGUCACACUACAACUACAGCUGAGCUAUAGUAGGACACAUUUUUGCUAAUACUGCUUGUAAUUCAAAACCAAAUCUGGGCCCAACCUUCUUGAUAACUUUUUGAUGUUGCUUUCCAGCAAAAAUAAAGAUUUCUUGCCAUCUUUUCCUUCAAACAUAGCAGUUGUCAACUCAUUCCUACCCUUAGUGAAUUAUGUAUUAAGAUAUUUAUGCCAUACAAUACACAUAUAUUAGACAUGCAAUCAACUUUGUGCCCAAUGGCCACCCACAAAAAUGUUUAAUUAUUUUGAUUCCUAAUCGCCGUGUACAGAUGUUAAGGGCCUGUAAGAAAAAUCUAUGAUGGGGGGUUGUAUUCUCAGUUCUAGAUGACUAGCAUAAAAAUUCCCCUUUGCUUGUUGUCAGAAGCCAUUACAAGUGGAAAGAAGGGGGUGCCUAAAAUCCUAUAAAUCUCGCAUUUGUCCUCAAAAGAUUUCAAGAUGGCCCCCAUUAAGAACCGUUUCCUUAGUUGCCUUUUGAACUGAAGAAAGUAAUAAUUAAAACCAGUAAUAUGAUUAUUUAUAUUAACCGCAAUCUUAGCUCAGCAACAGCCUCCCAGAACAACAUGAAGAGGGAGUCUUUCUGCCUGGUUUAUGGGCCUACUUUACAAAUGUGGUUGUAAAUAUUAUGAUAAUAACAUGUCUUACAGGACUUUGAGCACCUAGUAAAAAUGUUAUAUACUAAAUAAAGGCUGCCAAUCACCUGGA